CAUACUUUGGGUUUUGUUACUGGUGGAUCUGCUCUAUUGCAUGGUGCUACUCAGACAAGUGCCUCACCCUGGUCUUCAGCAUCAAUGAUAUUUCCUCCAGCCCUAGGCAUGCCUUUAAAUGCUGAAUGGAAUGGCUGCAUGAUCAAGUUGUGGAAAAGUUUACUUGCAUACCAUCUCCAAGGAUCUGGCACAUCUAAUAGUUUCACUUUGGUUCUUCAGCAGUUUCUUUCGAAAUUACUCAUUACACUUCUAGGGCGAGUACGAACUACAGAAAGUUUUUGUUUUUGGUUAAGUUAAAAUAUGCAUUUAUCGGAAUCAUGGAAGUUCAAGUUCAUGUUUCGAGAUUCUACAAGACUAAUUUUAUUGU